GAUGAACGCUGGCGGCGUGCUUAACACAUGCAAGUCGAACGGAGUGCCUUUGAAAGAGGAUUCGUCCAAUUGAUAAGGUUACUUAGUGGCGGACGGGUGAGUAACGCGUGAGGAACCUGCCUUGGAGUGGGGAAUAACACAGUGAAAAUUGUGCUAAUACCGCAUAAUGCAGUUGGGUCGCAUGACUCUGACUGCCAAAGAUUUAUCGCUCUGAGAUGGCCUCGCGUCUGAUUAGCUGGUUGGUGGGGUAACGGCCUACCAAGGCGACGAUCAGUAGCCGGCCUGAGAGGGCGACCGGGCCACAUUGGGACUGAGACACGGCCCAAACUCCUACGGGAGGCAGCAGUGGGGAAUAUUGCACAAUGGGGGAAACCCUGAUGCAGCGACGCCGCGUGAAGGAAGAAGUA
rnacentral:rRNA from 1 species